GACGAACGCUGGCGGCGUGCUUAACACAUGCAAGUCGAACGAAGAGCGAUGGAAGCUUGCUUCUAUCAAUCUUAGUGGCGAACGGGUGAGUAACGCGUAAUCAACCUGCCCUUCAGAGGGGGACAACAGUUGGAAACGACUGCUAAUACCGCAUACGAUCUAAUCUCGGCAUCGAGGAUAGAUGAAAGGUGGCCUCUACAUGUAAGCUAUCGCUGAAGGAGGGGAUUGCGUCUGAUUAGCUAGUUGGAGGGGUAACGGCCCACCAAGGCGAUGAUCAGUAGCCGGUCUGAGAGGAUGAACGGCCACAUUGGGACUGAGACACGGCCCAGACUCCUACGGGAGGCAGCAGUGGGGAAUCUUCCGCAAUGGACGAAAGUCUGACGGAGCAACGCCGCGUGAGUGAUGACGGCCUUCGGGUUGUAAAGCUCUGUUAAUCGGGACGAAAGGCCUUCUUGCGAAUAGUGAGAAGGAUUGACGGUACCGGAAUAGAAAGCCACGGCUAACUACGUG
rnacentral:rRNA from 1 species